UGAGCAUAAUAUGAGCACUUUAAGGCGGAUUUAUGCUUCUACAGAGGCUCCACGCAGAGGUUUUUCGCCAUAGCCUACGUUACCUGGCCUGAAGUUUCUGCUUGUGCGCUGUUGUCUGUGCCGAUCUCUUUAAGAGAAGAGAAGGAGCGGCAUGUGUGUGUGCGUGGGGAGUGUGUGACUCUAAAGUGUCUCCCCUGUUCUUUCUGACCACUGUCGGAAAUCCGUAUGUUAUGGCUGGGGUCGGCUGGCUGUGAGUCUUUGUUUUUGUUUCCUAGUUCUAUUUGAUUUCCACUGUCGGUGUCCUCUGUUUGCCUGCCUUUUUCUGUUUCCUGUGUUUUUCCCCUCCUCCCGCUUUCUCCUGCCAGCUGACUGCACACACCUGCUCGUCGUUCCGCCAUCACCUCUCCCUGCCGUACACACCUGCCAGCCAUCUACAAUCAAGCCCAGUAUAUAGACCCCGGAUUCACUCAUCAUCUCCGCGUGAUCGUUGCUUCAGCCACCUGGUUAUCUCCUCCAUUUCGCUCCGCUACCUCCAGUCAGCUGGCUUCACCAUACGGUCCCCUCCUCACGGCUCCCUGUUCUGCCCCGCCUCCCCUCCUGUGUUCAGCCACUCCUCCUUUGACUCCCCGGACUCCAGUGCCUCCUCCUCGGCUCCCCUGGCCCUGGUUUCCCCGCGCUCCCCCAGCUCCUUCUCCAUCCUACCUCCAGCCCCAGAAAACCCUCACUGCUGCCCCCGGCAUCCACCUCCCCACUCCCAUCCAGUUUCUGUUGCCCAAUUAAUCGGUUUUGUCGAGCCUU